rnacentral:rRNA from 1 species
AUACGGAGGAUCCGAGCGUUAUCCGGAUUUAUUGGGUUUAAAGGGAGCGUAGGUGGACAGUUAAGUCAGUUGUGAAAGUUUGCGGCUCAACCGUAAAAUUGCAGUUGAUACUGGCUGUCUUGAGGACAGUAGAGGUGGGCGGAAUUCGUGGGGUAGCGGUGAAAUGCUUAGAUAUCACGAAGAACUCCGAUUGCGAAGGCAGCUCACUGGACUGCAACUGACACUGAUGCUCGAAAGUGUGGGUAUCAAACAGGAUUAGAUACCCUGGUAGUCCACACAGUAAACGAUGAAUACUCGCUGUUUGCGAUAUACAGUAAGCGGCCAAGCGAAAGCAUUAAGUAUUCCACCUGGGGAGUACGCCGGCAACGGUGAAACUUAAAGGAAUUGACGGGG